AAGAAAGCAAUAUGUCGGAACCUCCACUCAAACUCCGGGCAAGGAACCGACUACCGGGAACCUUUGCCUGGUUGCUUACCUGGCCUUGCUCUUGAGUACUCGUCUUCAGUUGCUGAUGUACUUCCGAAGAAGAUGCCAUAUUUGUGAUAGGAGCAUAUUUAUGCGACUUAGUUAGCUUGUUUUCUUGCAUUUUCAUAGUUUGUUUAUGUUUAUUAUAGUGUUUUAAGCUAUUUUCGUGGGUUUGUAGGUUCAUAUGACAAAGUUGGCAAGAAAGUGCAAUUUGGAGCAUUUUGAGGCAGUUUUGGGCACCAAAUGGAUAGCUUAUGAAUGGAGCAAGAUGGAGGGACGAAUUUGAAGUUCAAGAGGCUAGGAAUGUGUUGAAAAGAGUGAAGAAAUAAAUCCAAGUCAAGGAAGAUAAGAAAUCAGCUCAAAAGAAGGAACAUUAUCCAAAACCUUAUCCAACCUUAUCUUAUCUUAUCCUAUCCUAAUCCUAUCCUAAUUUAAUUCCAGCUGCAUGGGGGAUUUAUUUUCAGAUUAGGACACAUUAAAAUUGGUUUCUAGAAGCCAUUAUCCACUCAUACAAAGGUGCCACACCUUAUCCCUUGUUUUUCUAGAAAUCAGC
rnacentral:lncRNA from 1 species